rnacentral:lncRNA from 1 species
AUGAAUUUCAAAUACUUUAAUGACUUAUAUAAUUUAUGAUUGAUGUAAAAAUAAAGUGCAUAUUGAAUGUUGAAUUUUGUAGAACUUGUGUAAUAGGUUGUUGCAAAAAGUAUGACACCAAGUUAUUGUUCUCAUUGCAAUAAAUAAAACCGUUUUUCUUGCAUAUCUAAAAAGUCGUACUUUUACAUGUUUGGUUGUAAAUCAAUCAAAAUUUCUCAAUUAUUCAUUGUGUAGCUAAGGUGCCAAGUAGCCAAAGAAUUGGUAAAAUUAAAAAGUAGGUGUCAAUAGAGUCAUGUAAGAAUGGAGUAUAAUCUUGUUCAAUGUUAGAAGAUAUCACUAUGUAGUUGACAUAACAAAAAAGCUUAAAAAAAAAUUGUAAU